rnacentral:rRNA from 1 species
UACGGAGGGAGCUAGCGUUAUUCGGAAUUACUGGGCGUAAAGCGCACGUAGGCGGCUUUGUAAGUUAGAGGUGAAAGCCUGGUGCUCAACACCAGAACUGCCUUCGAUACUGGGAGUCUUCGAGUCCGGGAGAGGUGAGUGGAACUGCGAGUGUAGAGGUGAAAUUCGUAGAUAUUCGCAAGAACACCAGUGGCGAAGGCGGCUCACUGGCCCGGUACUGACGCUGAGGUGCGAAAGCGUGGGGAGCAAACAGG